CUACGGGUGGCAGCAGUGAGGAAUAUUGCACAAUGGGGGGAACCCUGAUGCAGCAACGCCGCGUGGAGGAUGACGCAUUUCGGUGUGUAAACUCCUUUUAUAUGUCAAGAAAAUGACGGUAGCAUAUGAAUAAGCACCGGCUAACUCCGUGCCAGCAGCCGCGGUAAUACGGAGGGCGCAAGCGUUACUCGGAAUCACUGGGCGUAAAGGACGCGUAGGCGGGUUUGAAAGUCAGGUGUGAAAUCCUACAGCUUAACUGUAGAACUGCACUUGAAACUUCUAAUCUAGAGUAUGGGAGGGGGAGAUGGAAUUAGUGGUGUAGGGGUAAAAUCCGUAGAUAUCACUAGGAAUACCUAAAGCGAAGGCGAUCUCCUGGAACAUUACUGACGCUAAGGCGUGAAAGCGUGGGGAGCAAACAGGAUUAGAUACCCUCGUAGUC
rnacentral:rRNA from 1 species